CGGGCAAGAAUAUUGGAGUGGGUUGUUAUUUCCUUCUCCAGGUUUAACAGGGUAAGGAAUACAAAACAGCUAGGAGACGAAUAGAAACCAUCUGAUUGGCUGGGGCCAUGUGGUCACCUAGUUGUUUGAAGUGAGAAGGUGUGACAUUGGCUUGGCAUUUGGGGAGUGGCUCAAGCCGUAGGCUGCGUGCCUUCCUGGUCACGUGAUGCAUUUACACACAUUGCGAAGUGAUUGGUGACGUGGACCCCGGGGCAGAAGCAGCUCCAUCUUGGGCUUAAGACAGUUAGUUCAAGAACUGAAAUAGAAUUUGCUUAUGCUGACCCUCAUCCCUUCUCCUCAUCUCACCUGGUGCUUUAUUGACUUGGAAAGCAAAGCUAGAGCAAGCUAGUUGAGCCCUGUCUGUGUGAACGGUGAAGGACCUGUCUCUGCUCUCUCAAUGGAACAUGGAAAAAAGAUUUUAAAUAGCUCUGCUGAAAUCCCAUCACCUUCACUGGCUUUAUUGGCAGCAGUGCUUGCUAAGACCCACUUGACUCCACAAUCCAGAAUGUUUGGCCCUGGCUCCUGGGGUUCUCACAGCAAGUAUACUGGAGUGGUUUGCAUUCCCUCCUCCAGUGGAUCACACUUUGCCAGAACUCUCCACUAUGACCUGUCCAUCUUGGGUGGCCCUGCUCAGCAUGGCUCAUAGCUUCCUUGAGUUAUGCAAGCCCCUUCACCAGAAUACAGUGAUCCAUGAAGAAGAUAGGACAUCUGGAUUGCUUCUUGUUUUUGGUGACUAUGAGUAAAGCUGCUGAAAAAGAUUUGCAUCCAGGCUUCUGUUUGGAGGUAAAUACUCAGGAGUGAAGUUGCUGGAUCACAUGAUAGUUCUAUGGCUGCACUAAUUUAAAUUCCCACCAUCCUCACUGCUGCAGCUAAGUCCC